AUGGGGGGACCAUCCUCCAAGGCUAAAUACUCCUGACUGACCGAUAGUGAACCAGUACCGUGAGGGAAAGGCGAAAAGAACCCCGGCGAGGGGAGUGAAAAAGAACCUGAAACCGUGUACGUACAAGCAGUGGGAGCACCCUUUGGGGUGUGACUGCGUACCUUUUGUAUAAUGGGUCAGCGACUUAUAUUCUGUAGCAAGGUUAACCGAAUAGGGGAGCCGUAGGGAAACCGAGUCUUAACCGGGCGUUAAGUUGCAGGGUAUAGACCCGAAACCCGGUGAUCUAGCCAUGGGCAGGUUGAAGGUUGGGUAACACUAACUGGAGGACCGAACCGACUAAUGUUGAAAAAUUAGCGGAUGACCUGUGGCUGGGGGUGAAAGGCCAAUCAAACCGGGAGAUAGCUGGUUCUCCCCGAAAGCUAUUUAGGUAGCGCCUCGUGAAUUCAUCUCCGGGGGUAGAGCACUGUUUCGGCUAGGGGGCCAUCCCGGCUUACCAACCCGAUGCAAACUGCGAAUACCGGAGAAUGUUAUCACGGGAGACACACGGCGGGUGCUAACGUCCGUCGUGAAGAGGGAAACAACCCAGACCGCCAGCUAAGGUCCCAAAGUCAUGGUUAAGUGGGAAACGAUGUGGGAAGGCCCAGACAGCCAGGAUGUUGGCUUAGAAGCAGCCAUCAUUUAAAGAAAGCGUAAUAGCUCACUGGUCGAGUCGGCCUGCGCGGAAGAUGUAACGGGGCUAAACCAU
rnacentral:rRNA from 1 species